rnacentral:rRNA from 1 species
UACGUAGGUGGCAAGCGUUGUCCGGAUUUAUUGGGUUUAAAGGGUGCGUAGGCGGUCCUAUAAGUCAGUGCUGAAAUAUCCCGGCUUAACCGGGAGGGUGGCAUUGAUACUGUUGGACUUGAGUAAAGUUGAGGUUGGCGGAAUUGACGGUGUAGCGGUGAAAUGCUUAGAUAUCGUCAAGAACACCGAUUGCGAAGGCAGCUAACUAAGCUUUAACUGACGCUGAGGCACGAAAGUGUGAGGAUCAGACAGG